CCUGCAAGGAAGUAAAUUUUGAGUUUGAUGAUUAAACAUUAAGGGUAUCUGUUAUUCGUUGCAUUUCAGUGUGCAGGAAUGUAUCUAUCGAUCGGAUAUAAGUCCCUAACAACAAAAAUACAACCACAAAGCAAGAAUUUUGGAGUUAGCAUGAACUGCAGUGUGUAUGAGUAACCAGUAAACAUCAAGUAUAGUGUUUGAUUGUUUAAAUGUGUGUUACUUGUAAAUAUUCAGUAUUUAGCAAUCACUUGAUAUCAAUUUUAAACUACUGGGUGUGAUUGGUUAAAUGUGUCUUGCUUGUAUGAUAAUCUGCUUUCUUUAGACAUUCUAACAUGUUAUUGAACUGUCAACUAUAACUAUGAUAAUCUGUAGCCACUUAAAACUAUGGUAUAGUGUUGGUAUUCCUCUAUUCUUGUAAAUGUGAGGUCUUAGAUUCGAAUCUAGUGAACGAGUUCAAUACUAGUUUAUUUCUUUCACUCCUUGGUGUAAACAUAUAUAAAGCAUGAGUUGCGAUAUGUGUGUGUGUGUGUGUCCUUGGUGUAAACAUAUAUAGAGCAUGAGUUAUGAUAUAUAUAUAUAUAUAUAUAUAUAUAUAUCUGUGUGUGUGUGUGUGUGGGCACACACGUGUGCGCGUGCACACAUGUAUGACUAUAAUUUCAUUUAAACACAUAAAACUGACACACUCUUGUAAUAAUAGAGUUGAAGAAGAUGCAUUAUCUUAUGUGUGGGUGUGUGUGUUUUAAUAUUUUAAUUUUUAAUUUUUUGGUAUUCUCAACAAUAGGGACACAAAUUUGAGGACUCAAUGUGCCACUGUAAUUAGAUUAACGAUAAAUGGUUGAGGAUGCGCAUAUUAUCAUCUAAAUAUGAUCUAAUGGUUGAAACAUAAACCUUCAAGUGUCAGCUAAAGUAUCUAUUUAGUUUUAGAAUAUCAAGGUGUGUUUAUUUGUCUACGAGCGCAUAAAUAAAACCUACAAAAAUAUGCUAAUGUCUGUGUUCUGUGCUCAUCUCCAGAGCCAUAUAGAAAAGAGAGGCAGAUUUUUUAAGCUCGAAGGAUCAUGAAUUUACAGCAUGUGUUAUAGUUCAAUCCAAAUAUGUUGACAAAAACUAGCUGCAUUCAUAUAUAGUCAUUGAAAAAUUGAGGAACUAUUAAAAGUUGUAUAUGCAAUACUAAAGAUCUUACACAAAUGAGUUCGGUUAAGGACCUAAUGUUAGAAUUUUUUUAACAUCAACUCAAAAUCAAUUGACAACGGAUAAAAUGAUUAAAGAUCAUCAUUAAUUUAUAUGCAAUACUCGCAACACAUAAUUUAUUUAUGUUAAAAAUCGUCACGUAUAUUGUUGAUGCAUCAUUAAUUGAUAUUAAACCUAUCGUUUACAAUGCAUUUUGCACAGGUUUCCAGUCAUUAAAAGAUAAUUUUUCUUGAUAUACGAACUUUACGUACGGUAUGCAUAGACUAAUAUAAAUGUUUCUAAUUUACUAAUGCAAAUUUCACUCGAGUUUUGCAUGAUAUUUAUGGUGAAAUUCGAAUUUUUCAGAAGAGCAAUUAACCUUUGACCUGUCAGCUACCAUCCCAUCGCAGGGUUUUGAAAUCGCACCUUCAGAUGCUAGUUCAGAAGAUGGUAGAUUUGAAAAGGUUCGGUGCUCCAUCGAAAUAAGGGAAGAAUACAUGUUCGAAUUUCCGCAAAGCUUGAGUUUGGAUGAAUAUUCAAAUGAAUAAAAGAGAAGAGGGAGUGAAUGCAAAUAUUUGUAUGAAUGAAUGAAUAUAUUGAAGAGGAAGAACAAAAAUUAACAAAGAAUGAAUAAAAGGUAAAAAUAGAUUUGUGGAUA